CAUGGCCCGCCCGCGACUGCCCGCUGCCUUGCUGGCCGCCGCGCUGCUCUCAGGAUGUCUGGUAGCUGCCGAGGAAGAAGAGCAGAUAGUACCUCCCGCAAAUUAUGCAAAGCGAGGAGCAGAGAACCUGGGACUUCGGUUCAAUAUGGGAAAAAAGUUUGGCCGCUACUCAUGGCUUAGGUCAGCAGAUUCAACCAGAAGGCGUGUGGAAUUUUACUUAGCUAGCCAACAACGCCUUGCACAACAAAAGCUUCCAGGAGAGCGUGAUGAAUGGAGACCUUUCUAUAAUUAAAUAUGACUGGACAUCACUAUCCGAUAGCUGAUUAUCAGGAUAUUUUUCCAAAUCCUAAGAAUGUGGGAAAAUUCUUUGCGAGCACAUUUCAAACAUAAUGUCAUAUCUAGUAUCAUAGAAAAUAGUGUAGA